rnacentral:rRNA from 1 species
UACGUAGGGGGCAAGCGUUAUCCGGAUUUACUGGGUGUAAAGGGAGCGUAGACGGCAAGGCAAGUCUGAUGUGAAAACCCAGGGCUUAACCCUGGGACUGCAUUGGAAACUGUCUGGCUCGAGUGCCGGAGAGGUAAGCGGAAUUCCUAGUGUAGCGGUGAAAUGCAUAGAUAUUAGGAAGAACACCAGUGGCGAAGGCGGCUUACUGGACGGUAACUGACGUUGAGGCUCGAAAGCGUGGGGAGCAAACAGG